rnacentral:rRNA from 1 species
UACAGAGGGUGCAAGCGUUGUUCGGAAUCAUUGGGCGUAAAGGGCGUGUAGGCGGUCUGUUAAGUCGGGUGUGAAAUCUCGGGGCUUAACUCCGAAACUGCAUUCGAUACUGCCGUGCUUGAGGACUGGAGAGGAGACUGGAAUUUACGGUGUAGCGGUGAAAUGCGUAGAUAUCGUAAGGAAGACCAGUGGCGAAGGCGGGUCUCUGGACAGUUCCUGACGCUGAGGCACGAAGGCCAGGGGAGCAAACGGG